AAUUGAGGGGGGCCCCGGGUGGAGCAUGUGGUUUAAUUGGAAGAACGCGAAAAACCUUCCCCGGUCUUGACAUCCGAAAUCCCCAGAGAAGGGGUUCUCCUUUGGGAGCAGAAUCACAGGUGGCACAUGGUUGUUGUCAGCUCGUGUUGAGAGAUUUUGGGUUAAGUCCCCAAAACGAGGCACCCCCCUUUUUUUUUUCCCAUCAUUAAGUUGGGCAUUUUAAGGUGACUGCCGGUGACAAACCGGAGGAAGGUGGGGAAGACGUCAAAUCAUCAUGGCCCUUAUGACCUGGGGUACACACCGUACAAAUGGUCGGUACAAAGGUGCAAGACCGCGAGGUGGAGCUAAUCUCAUAAAACCCUUUUCAGUUCGGGAUUUGGGUUGCAAAUUGCCUCCAGGAAGUGGGAAUCGUUGUUAUUCCGGGAUCACAAGCCGCGGGGAAAUACUUCCGCCCUGUACACACCGCCCCGCCCCCGAGAGUUUGUAACACCCAAGUCGGUGGGGUAACCUUUUAGAGCCCGCCGCCAAGGUG
rnacentral:rRNA from 1 species